rnacentral:rRNA from 1 species
UACGUAGGGUGCAAGCGUUAAUCGGAAUUACUGGGCGUAAAGCGUGCGCAGGCGGUUUUGUAAGUCUGACGUGAAAUCCCCGGGCUCAACCUGGGAACUGCAUUUGUGACUGCACGGCUGGAGUGCGGCAGAGGGGGAUGGAAUUCCGCGUGUAGCAGUGAAAUGCGUAGAUAUGCGGAGGAACACCGAUGGCGAAGGCAAUCCCCUGGGCCUGCACUGACGCUCAUGCACGAAAGCGUGGGGAGCAAACAGG